rnacentral:rRNA from 1 species
AACGAACGCUGGCGGCAUGCCUAACACAUGCAAGUCGAACGAGACCUUCGGGUCUAGUGGCGCACGGGUGCGUAACGCGUGGGAACCUGCCUUUAGGUUCGGAAUAACUCAGAGAAAUUUGAGCUAAUACCGGAUAAUGUCUUCGGACCAAAGAUUUAUCGCCUUUAGAUGGGCCCGCGUAAGAUUAGCUAGUUGGUGGGGUAAAGGCCUACCAAGGCGACGAUCUUUAGCUGGUCUGAGAGGAUGAUCAGCCACACUGGGACUGAGACACGGCCCAGACUCCUACGGGAGGCAGCAGUGGGGAAUAUUGGACAAUGGGCGAAAGCCUGAUCCAGCAAUGCCGCGUGAGUGAUGAAGGGCCCUUUAGGGUUGUAAAAGCUCUUUUUACCCGAGAUGAUAAUGACAGUAUCGGGAGAAUAAGCUCCGGCUAACUCCGUGCCAGCAGCCGCGGUAAU